GGGGUUAGAGCUGGCUAGGAGGUUGUACUGAGAUGGCUAACAAGACAAAUUCAUCCAGUUUUACUUACGAUUUUGAAUAUUACAUGGAUUAUUUAGAUUUACUUCCAGUUGAUGCAGGAAAGUUGAAGGCAAACAGAUAUUCAAUUGUCAUAGCCCUUUGGAUUGGACUUGCUUCUUUUGUGGCAUUUCUUUUCCUUAUUUUGUUCUAUAUAUCUCGUUCUGGUUCUACACCCGUGAAGUAAGUACAAUGCUUUGUGUUCUAUAGAUGAAAGGAAAUGUAAGGUUGUAUGCCCCUAUGAAAGCCAGGACUUGGAUGCAAAGCAAGCAUCCUAGAUUUAUAUCCCUAAGCAUCUAAUUAAUGAAUGCUUGGGCUACGUUGCUUCUAAAAUUCUAAAAUAAUGUAUCAUACAUUCCUUGCUUCCAUUAGGCUCACAAUGGCCUGGUUUGGAUUACUGCUCCAGGGUUCCUACUGUGUCACUUCAUUGCUGCUUGUAUUAUUUCUGAAUCAGGGAACUGGGGCUAAACGUUCAUUAACAAACCAGAAUCAUGAUGACUUACUAGCUGACAUUAAACCUUAGUUCCCCAAAUCAGAUGUAAUACAAGACAGAAACCAUUGUCUGAACUGUGUGCAUGUCUUGCCUGCUAUAACCCAUCUCACACUAUUUCUCUGAGGGGGUCCAAGUAGGAAUUGCAUGUUAGUGUUCCCAAAAGUAUCUUCCUACUGGCCCUGGUGUCUAUGAAGCCCUAAUUCUGCAUGAGUCUUUUAAAGAAGUAAAGUGAAUGUAGAAAAUCGAUGAAGGGUGAUGGCUUGAAUUUUUUUCUAUUUGUUUUUGAGUCAACCAACCAUUCUAGCUGUGAGUCAGGUAUUUUGGUUUUAGUAGGCAGGCAUCUUAAAACAUACAUCAAAAGCCUUAAAAAUCAGCUUUCAAAAAUUCUGAAAAAAAUAACAGUAAAUAUUUAUUCAAAAUACAGCUUAAAAAUACACUGUAACUUUCAUGAUACAUAAUUACAAAUAAGUUAUGAGUUCUAAAAUAGUUCUCUUUAUGGCAGCCCCCCCCAUCAAGAUCUGAAAGCAUGACACACUACAUUUAAGAUUGAAAGACAGGGUGAUGAAUUAAGAAUGGGUAAAUGUCUUUGCCGAGAGAAGCUAUAGCUUCUUCAGGUUCCCAUGUUGUUUGAUCAUCAUUCUUUUGUUUACCAUUUGCUGCUUCAUGUAUCAGUUUAACAUGGGAUAUAAAUGUGUCUGGUGGCUUUGCUCCCAGCCAAAGAUCUCCAAUGUAAACAGAAGUGAGGAAUAUGCUUGCACCUAGGAAAUAAUAAAAUAAUUGUCACAAUCAAGAUCUUUUCUUAAAAGCUUCUUAAAAGUUUAUCUAUAUCCUGCAUUUACUCUGCUUAUUUUAAUUGGCAGAGUUUCCAAUACGUUUUUUUAAAUGGAACAGUCAAUACUUCAUUAAGGGCACAUUGGUUUUUUAUGUUAAACAGCACUUUAUCCCUUAGAAUAUUCCUUAACAUACUCAGGCUUAUUUAAUUUCUCAAUCAAUUUUAAUGUCACCAGAAUAUCCUAUUCUACAUUACUACCGGUAGUUAAUCUCUUAGUAUCUUCUGGAAUUACUGUAUUAUACAGCAAAAGGCAAAAUUUCAAGAAGUUUUUACGGGGGAGAAAGAUUAUAUGCUUAGUUUCCCCUCAACAUCCUUGCUGAAAAUAACAUUACCUUUCUUUGUUCUUUCUUCCUCUGUUACUGCCGAGAGGCAGAACCUUUCCACAGUCUCAUGAAAAGCAUUUUUGGUCAGGUUCUGGGAAUCUAGUAGGUGCAGCAUGAUUCCAUUAAGCAAAGAGAGAUCACUCAGUUCCAUGGCCUUCUCUUCACAGGCAUUGUAGACGGUACUGUAAAGCUUAAAUAUACCACUUUUGAGAGUUGCAUCUUUAAGAAUCUCAUUUACCACAGUGCUGUUUUGCAAAGCACUCUUUUCAAACCACUUGAAAGUCAAAAGUACAUUUUCCACGUUGAAGCUGCUGUCGAGAAGAGACUUCACUAGCCAUCUGAAUACUAAGUAAGCAAUCUUACACGUAAGACCAGGAUUGUCAUCUCCAUUGUGCUCUUUUGAAUGCUUUGCUGGCAUAUCCAGGAAUACAGGUUCCCAGUGGAGAAGCACAGAUAUCAGGAUAGAUCUGCAUUCUUCUAAAUAUUUCUCAUCCCACUCAGGUGCUGCUUCUGCUUCUAUUUCAAUUUCAUUCUUCUUCCGAACAAGUCGGGAUGAUGUUCGAAAAGGUGCUUGUGCUUUGUUUUUGUCUUUAAUGUUUUCUGUAGUAGAAGAAAACAAACAAAAUAAUUACAACAAUUUAAAGAAAAAUGAGAAAAAUUGAACUUUCUGAAAAGUAUUUGUUGGUCUCGAAGCCACCAACAUGAGUCUGACCAAAGUGCGGGAGGCAAUGGAAGACAGGAGUGCCUGGCGUGCUCUGGUCCAUGGGGUCACAAAGAGUCGGACACGACUAAAUGACUAAACAACAACAAUUGUGAAAAAAUUUUCUCAGUGGGUACUUGGAUGUCUCCAAGUUGCAGCGAGCAGAUGUCUUCACAUUGGUACAGGAGAGGUUUCAAAAGGUGCAAACUGAUUUUUUUCUUGUCUGUGUGCAACCAUCAUCUUGCACCUGUCUUAACCUCUCCUGCACUGCUGUGAAGACAUAUGCACACCUAGGGAGAAUGGUAAUAAAUGAAUCAAUUCAGUAUUUAUUUAAAAGCUGACAGUGAGACAGGACAGAUAGAACCUCCUGCUGAAUUGUGCUUAUAAAGUUGAAAGUAACAGGUUAAAAGUUCAACCAAAUCCCAACAAAAUAAAUAGCUCAGUUGCAGGAAGCCCAGACCUGAACAUUUAUCUUGAGAUUAUUAUCACUCCAUAUAUUUUGCAUGAAUGCAGCCAAAAAUAUUUUCUCUAAGCAAAUCUUAUUAUAACCCCUAUCUUUUAAAUCUACAUUAACAAAAGCAAUUUCCCACUUUUUCCUUAAUAAUGAGAACUCUUUUUUUUUAUUUAACCAUCUCAGUGCUGUUUUAUAUUUGGGAUCACACAAACUAAAAUGGUUUCUGCUUCCACACAAGUCUCUGCUUCUUAAUUAUCCACCCCCACAAAGGCUCAGGAAAGGGAAAAGUGAUUAGUUAAGGGCUUGACUGUCCUAAGCAGAUCCUGGCAAACUGACAUAAUGAAACUCACUUAGAGCCUCACUUUAUAUAAAGAGCAUAUGGUGAUGUUCUAUUAAGUUUACCACUAGACAAAAAAUACAUAGUGCAAGGGAGAUAUGAAAUCCUUUUUCUUGGAUCAUGUAUGAUGUUAUUAAUGAAGUGCAUAUAUAUUUUUAAUGAUUUCUACUCCUUUUUCCAACUUCCCGAGGAAGCCUGUCUGGGGCCAACAAUAAUAUCUUUUUAGUGUGAGGUUAAGGACUUCCUCUUCUUCCAUGCAUUUGAUGAAAUAUGAUGAGCUGGCUGUUAUGUUCAGUAUUUUCAGAAUUCAGCAGAAAAUAGCUGACCUUACUUAAAACACAUGAUGUGUAUAGAACUUACUAAGCAAUUCUUUUGUUUGGUACUGUUGAGCAAAUAUCUGAAGAACAUCUUGAAGUUCCACAUCUUUGCCAAUUAUGCUCCACUUGUGCAAGAGAAGCAGAACAUCUUUGUUGGAAAGGACAUGCUCAUUCACAGUGAAUCUUCCCAUUUGUCUGAAGGCCUCAAAAACCACAAGGCGGUAUUCCAAUACAGAACUCAACGUGCUGAAAAACUGAAUCAAUAUGGCAGAAUCCAAGUUGGUCCUAUUUGGCAGGAGAUGGAGAAAAAAAGGUUACAAUGCUCAAGCCAAAUGGAAAGUCUCCAACAGAUCUGAUAAAGAUGAAGAAAGAAGGAAAAAACCACAUGAUGCUGCAAACAAGAGACAUAAAAACCUAAAUUCCAGAUGUGCCAGUAUUUUGUGAUGCUGCUAAAUAUAAUACACAUUUUCAUCAUUUUUCUGCAUUCAGAAUGUGACUUCUUAUACAGUCACAAGAAGUCACAUACUGAAUGGGGGGGGGGG